GACGGAAGGUGCAAGCGUUGCUCGGAAUCACUGGGCGUAAAGGGUGCGUAGGCGGCCGUGCAAGUCUGGCGUGAAAGCCCCGGGCUCAGCCCGGGAAGUGCGCUCGAAACUGCGCGGCUCGAGUGCCGGAGGGGAGAGUGGAAUUCCUGGUGUAGCGGUGAAAUGCGUAGAUAUCCGGAGGAACACCGGUGGCGAAGGCGGCUUCCUGGACCGACACUGACGCUGAGGCGCGAAAGCUAGGGGAGCAAACGGG
rnacentral:rRNA from 1 species